GCAGCCGUGGCCUACUGGGUAGAGCUUCAGACUUAUAAUCUGAGGGUUGCCGGUUUGAACCCCACCAGUAGGA
rnacentral:tRNA from 1 species